rnacentral:rRNA from 1 species
GAUGAACGCUGGCGGCGUGCCUAAUACAUGCAAGUCGAGCGAACAGACGAGGAGCUUGCUCCUCUGACGUUAGCGGCGGACGGGUGAGUAACACGUGGAUAACCUACCUAUAAGACUGGGAUAACUUCGGGAAACCGGAGCUAAUACCGGAUAAUAUAUUGAACCGCAUGGUUCAAUAGUGAAAGACGGUUUUGCUGUCACUUAUAGAUGGAUCCGCGCCGCAUUAGCUAGUUGGUAAGGUAACGGCUUACCAAGGCAACGAUGCGUAGCCGACCUGAGAGGGUGAUCGGCCACACGGGAACUGAGACACGGUCCAGACUCCUACGGGAGGCAGCAGUAGGGAAUCUUCCGCAAUGGGCGAAAGCCUGACGGAGCAACGCCGCGUGAGUGAUGAAGGUCUUCGGAUCGUAAAACUCUGUUAUGAGGGAAGAACAAAUGUGUAAGUAACUAUGCACGUCUUGACGGUACCUAAUCAGAAAGCCACGGCUAACUACGUG